CACCUUUGCAUGGGGUGGCAGUUCUGUUACCAGAUCUCAACCCAGCUGACCACCCAUUGGAGAUUUUGGACCUACGUGUUAGACAGCGCUCUCCACCACCAUCAUCAAAACACCAAAUGAGAGAACAUCUUUAGGAAGAACGGUGUUCAUCCCUCCGCUAGGGUUCCAGAGACCAGUAGGAUCAAUGCCAAGCAUCUACUUAGAGCUGCCACAAGGGGGCUCCACAGUGGGUGAUCUCAUCUGACAACAGACUGCAUGCAUCUGCAAGAAUCCAACACGCUGCUCAAUCUUCAUGAAAGAAAAAGCAUCAAGUCUUCAAAUCAUCUUGCAUUUGUUUAUCAGCCCUGACAACCCUUGCACCUGUGUCUCCGACAACAACCAGAGCACAAGCCCCUGGGUUGAAUUUUCAAUGUAUGAUGAUGAAUGUAGGAAAAACUGCAGAGACACUCAUUUUCAAGAGACCCUCAUUUUCAAGAAUACGAAAUGUCGAAAAGGUCACACUCGGGCGCAGAAAAAAGACGAAAACAGAAGCGAAAACAAAAAGAGAAAGGUUGGAUGUAACAAUGAGAUUUCUUGACAUUCAGAUACAUGUGUUCACAUCUUGCUGCGGAGUGCAACCUUCUGGCCAGCAGAACCUCUUGAGGUUUAAGUGCCUUGCUCAGAGUUACCCCCAGUCAAGCCUGCUUCUCGAACAAUGUGGCCGUGGGGAUUACACUGUUUGGAUCAGGAAUGUGCUAAAAAUGACUGAUUCAGAGAUGCAUUAGUUGUCAGAUUUGUCUCUGAGAUGAUAGGGUUGAGAAUACAUUUUUAAACAAAAUCCAAAGGCUACUGGGCAUUUUUUGUCUUAAAAUGCACUGAAAUGAAACAGAAAUUUGG